GCUGCAAUCGGUGGCUAUGCCCAUUUUAGAGGGAAUUGUGGCCUCUUUGAGAAAGAAAAGGACACAAGGGAUUGGGAGAAGCUAAUGGAACAGCUAGCCCGACAAGUUGAAAGACAACCUGUGGGCAGUACUGUAAAAUGUCCAAAAUGCCGUCAAAAAAUUUACAAGGAUGAUGAUAAAUAUAUUUUCUGCUGGGCUUGCCAAGCUAGCUAUUGCACAAUGUGCAAAAAGCCGGUCCAGUUUACAGGGG